AUUGAACGCUGGCGGUAUGCUUUACACAUGCAAGUCGAACGGCAGCGCGGACUUCGGUCUGGCGGCGAGUGGCGAACGGGUGAGUAAGACAUCGGAACGUGCCUGAAAGUGGGGGACAACCAGUCGAAAGAUUGGCUAAUACCGCAUACGAUCUACGGAUGAAAGAGGGGGACCUUAGGGCCUCUUGCUUUUAGAGGAUGGACUUAUGGCGCAUUAGCUAGUUGGCAGGGUAAAGGCUUACCAAGGCGACGAUGCGUAGCCGACCUGAGAGGGUGACCGGCCACACUGGGACUGAGACACGGCCCAGACUCCUACGGGAGGCAGCAGUAGGGAAUUUUCGGCAAUGGGGGGAACCCUGACCGAGCAACGCCGCGUGAAGGAAGAAGGUUUUCGGAUUGUAAACUUCUGUUAUAAAGGAAGAACGGUACAUGGAGGGAAUGCCAUGUAAGUGACGGUACUUUAUGAGAAAGCCACGGCUAACUACGUGCCAGCAGCCGCGGUAACAC
rnacentral:rRNA from 1 species